CCUUCAUGAAGCUGGAAUUGCUAGUAAUGGCAGGUCAGCAUACUGCCGUGAAUACGUUCCCGGGCCUUGUACACACCGCCCGUCACACCAUGAGAGUUGGGAAUACCCGAAGCCUGUGAGCUAACAUAUGAGGCAGCAGUCGAAGGUAGAAUCAAUGAUUGGGGUGAAGUCGUAACAAGGUAAC
rnacentral:rRNA from 1 species